GGCGUAAGGGCUCGCAGGCGGUUUCUUAAGUCUGAUGUGAAAGCCCCCGGCUCAACCGGGGAGGGUCAUUGGAAACUGGGGAACUUGAGUGCAGAGGAGGAGAGUGGAAUUCCACGUGUAGCGGUGAAAUGCGUAGAGAUGUGGAGGAACACCAGUGGCGAAGGCGACUCUCUGGUCUGUAACUGACGCUGAGGAGCGAAAGCGUGGGGAGCGAACAGGAUUAGAUACCCUGGUAGUCCACGCCGUAAACGAUGAGUGCUAAGUGUUAGGGGGUUUCCGCCCCUUAGUGCUGCAGCUAACGCAUUAAGCACUCCGCCUGGGGAGUACGGUCGCAAGACUGAAACUCAAAGGAAUUGACGGGGGCCCGCACAAGCGGUGGAGCAUGUGGUUUAAUUCGAAGCAACGCGAAGAACCUUACCAGGUCUUGACAUCCUCUGACAAUCCUAGAGAUAGGACGUCCCCUUCGGGGGCAGAGUGACAGGUGGUGCAUGGUUGUCGUCAGCUCGUGUCGUGAGAUGUUGGGUUAAGUCCCGCAACGAGCGCAACCCUUGAUCUUAGUUGCCAGCAUUCAGUUGGGCACUCUAAGGUGACUGCCGGUGACAAACCGGAGGAAGGUGGGGAUGACGUCAAAUCAUCAUGCCCCUUAUGACCUGGGCUACACACGUGCUACAAUGGGCAGAACAAAGGGCAGCGAAACCGCGAGGUUAAGCCAAUCCCACAAAUCUGUUCUCAGUUCGGAUCGCAGUCUGCAACUCGACUGCGUGAAGCUGGAA
rnacentral:rRNA from 1 species